UGUGUAAUGUCUGGGAAACUGCCCGAUGGAGGGGGAUAACUACUGGAAACGGUAGCUAAUACCGCAUAACGUCUUCGGACCAAAGUGGGGGACCUUCGGGCCUCACACCAUCGGAUGUGCCCAGAUGGGAUUAGCUAGUAGGUGGGGUAAUGGCUCACCUAGGCGACGAUCCCUAGCUGGUCUGAGAGGAUGACCAGCCACACUGGAACUGAGACACGGUCCAGACUCCUACGGGAGGCAGCAGUGGGGAAUAUUGCACAAUGGGCGCAAGCCUGAUGCAGCCAUGCCGCGUGUAUGAAGAAGGCCUUCGGGUUGUAAAGUACUUUCAGUGGGGAGGAAGGCGUUAAGGUAAUAACCUUGGCGAUUGACGUUACCCGCAAAGAAGCCCGGCUAACUCCGUGCCAGCAGCCGCGGUAAUACGGAGGGUGCAGCGUAAUCGGAAUUCCGGGCCGUAAGCGACGCAGGCGUCUGUCAAGUCGGAUGUAAAUCCCCGGG
rnacentral:rRNA from 1 species